GAUAGCGUCAUUCUUCCUGUUAGAUCCGUAAUGACAUCAGUUUCCUGCAUGAGCUUACAGUUGUUCCCUGGUUACUUCAGGAGCCAUGAACGCCGCUUCGCUGGUCCAGAGGGUAGCAGGGAUUUCUGGAGCUCUUGCUGUCGCAGCAGGUGCAUAUGGAGCUCACGGAUUCAGACACAGUGAAGCCAGUGAUUACCAGAGAGAGUUGUAUGAUACAGCAAACAAGUAUCACAUCUACCACAGUCUGGCAUUGUUAGGAGCUGCUCGCUGUAGAAAACCUGCUCUGGCGGGGGCAAUCCUCCUCGCUGGGAUGGGCUGCUUCUGUGGUCCCCUCUACCACCAGGCCUUAACCAAUGACCCCAGUUUCAGCAAGCUGGCACCAAUUGGAGGCUCAUUGCUCAUCGUUGGCUGGGCUGCGAUGGCUCUUUGAACUCUGACUCCAUUUGGCAGACCAUGACCCUGUUGUUUUAACAUUCUCAGCGAUUAUGUUCUGUUUUGUCAUUUCAACAUGAAAAGAGGAGCUAUAGGUUGACUGAAAAAGAAAGAGGUGGAGAAUUUCACAUCUUAUCUAACCCCUUUUCAGUCAUGUCUGGAAAGUGAUGAUAAGGCCUUGGGAUCAAACAUAAUUCUUUUUUGUUCUCCACACUGUCACAGGCAUCUUUAUUUUGUCAGCAUGGG